rnacentral:rRNA from 1 species
UACAGAGGUCUCAAGCGUUGUUCGGAUUCAUUGGGCGUAAAGGGUGCGUAGGUGGCGCGGUAAGUCGGGUGUGAAAUUUCGGAGCUUAACUCCGAAACUGCAUUCGAUACUGCCGUGCUUGAGGACUGGAGAGGAGACUGGAAUUUACGGUGUAGCAGUGAAAUGCGUGGAGAUCGUAAGGAAGACCAGUGGCGAAGGCGGGUCUCUGGACAGUUCCUGACGCUGAGGCGCGAAGGCCAGGGGAGCAAACGGG